rnacentral:misc_RNA from 1 species
AAGGCAAGUCAAGGCUUCAAUGCUUAUGGAUUCUGAAAGAUGUUCUUGGUACCAACCUUCUAGCUUGGAGGAGCUUCAGAGCUUAUUAAAAUGCCCUGAUGCCAACAAUGGAGUCCGGAUGAAACUGGUGGUUGGUAACACUGGCAUGGGCUAUUAUAAGGAAUUAGAACCCUAUGACAGAUACAUCGAUCUCAGGUAUAUUCCUGAACUGUCAACGAUUAGGAGAGAUCAAAAUGGUAUUGAAACUGGGGCAGCUGUCACUAUUUCUAAAGUUAUUGAAGCUUUGAGAGAAGAAAUUAAAGAUGAAUUUAUCUCAGCAAGUAAGCUGGUGUUCGAAAAAAUUGCAGACCAUAUGGAUAAAGUUGCUUCCAAAUUUAUAAGAAAUACAGGCAGUAUUGGGGGAAAUUUGGUGAUGGC